CGCACCUUUUCUCCCUCCUGCCACAAUGUGAGCGCUCAGCCGCGCACAGAACUGCCGGCUGCCUGCUCCACCCCCGGCCCUCGCCCACUCCGCCCACUGCCGAGCGCCCAGGUGGAGAGGAUAUCUUCAAGCAGAACGGGAGAAAGGUUUCUCUGUGUAGCCUCCAUGGCUGUCCUGGAAUUCGCUUUGUCGACCAGGCUGGCCUCGAACUCACAGAGCUCGAUUUUUUUGUGUGAACCUCCAGAGAUGUAGCAGACUGAUGGCCGAGGUACAGCUGGCAUAACCCCUGCCAGGGAGGAAGAAGAUGUCUCCGGACUCGGCUGAGGAGUUCUUCAAAGAGAAAGAUUUGUCUUUCUCCUGAGAGCCUCCUGAGAGCGGAGAACAUGUCUCCUGUGUUGCACUGCAGAGCUAAGUAGCCCACCUUGCUCACAGUAGCCGCUUGAUAAGUGCCAGCUUCGUGAACACACAGCAGGGCUGGCUCUGGGAGCUGUGGGUCCUGGGAGUGCUUGUGGGGGCUGCUUAUCACCUUCUCUCCUCCCGCUUCUGUGGCCUACUUGUUGACCCAGUUUUCCUUUAAGCCAGAAGAUGUUUCUAGGGGCCGCUGCUCUUGAAGUGACAUGUGCAAGUGGAGAAGGAGACAGGACCUCAGCCUGCACGUUGGACCACUCCCUUCCUUCUCCAGCGGGUGCCCACUGGGCCCGAAUCCAUGUGUUUUGUAGGAUUCCACUCAACCCCUUACCUACUCAUCAGUCUUCCAGUCACAUUCCCUCCAGCCCUUCUCCCUUUCAUCUCAUCCCAGCAAGCAGAGACUCGUCGUCACUGGAAGCUGGUGUUACCAAAAUGUGCACACAACCACGCGGACUCACACAGCGCACGCGGAUACACACACCUUUCUCAGUCUAUGAGCCUUUGUCUGGCCCUUUGCUGUGGGGCCUGGCCCAUCUUUAUGAGAUCUAGGCUCUUCCUAUCCCAGGAUGCUGAAUCUGGCCUCUGAUGGACAGAGCUGGGCAUUUUGCACGUCUCCAGCCUUGCCUUCCCUUGGGGGCUUACAGAAGAUCCACCCAUAUGGCAGAACCUUCCAGAGAGACUUGAAACCAGGAGCCUGACCUCAUGAUGCCCGCAGCACCUGGCACAGAAGGUCCCAGCUCUGAUGUCCUGGCCCCAGCCCAGUUCUCUCUUCUAGAAUCCACACCUUCUCUGGCUCUCCUCCAAUCCUACAAAAUCAGCCCCAGCUUGGAGAGAAUAAGCAUGGCCUCAUGAAGGGCAUGGUAAGGAAAGAAGAGGUCUCUGCUGAAGGACCUCGGCCAACUCACUCCUUGCUAGUGUGUCUCAGUUUCCCCUGGAGAAACUCUGCCCAUGCAUCCGUGGUUACAAAGGAUCUCAGAACUGCCAGAAAACCCUAGUUAUGUCCUGCUCCCUUGCUGCUGGGAGCCACCCGCCCUACCCCUUGCUAGUUGAUGACGCUUGCCCAGCCAGGCAGGGUCCUGCAGGAUGGAAGUUCCAAGAAGCCCGAGCAGGAAUAAUAAUGAUAAUCAUCAACAGUGACGGCGGGCGGCGUCUUAGCCACCCGGGAAUGCAGGGCCCCACGCCCUGUGCCUCACACCCCAGGACACGGCAAGGGCUCUUUUCCCUGCAUUUUAUUGCAACGAUCCCACACUCUGCCAUUCCCAGCCCAACCCAUCCGAGUUUCCAGCAGCUUCAGUCCAGCCACCAGCCUCAUCUACCACCCAGGCUCCAUGGGAAGAUUUGACUUAACGAGACCAAGUCAACAGUAGAGAAGGAUGCCCAGCUGCUCGGAAACUCCAGGCUUUCCCAGAGAAGCUACCCACCCGCCCCUGGCCCCGGGCACUUUCCCACAGACUCAUCUGUGUCUGGUCAGUACAAAGGCCAGAAGCCUUGCAAGUGUCGUUCUGAAUCUCUAUUUCCAAGUCACUCACUAACAGGCCCUAGACAAGUUUUGUCUUGACUUCUACUUACCUAGAAACUUUCCAAGGCUUGUACUGCUCAUGAGUGAGAAACGGGUCUAGAUUAGGGAGAACAUCUCUCGUUUCCGAUACACAUUAGCAAGCCUUCAUAUCUCCCAUAUUCUUCACUCGCCAGGCUGAGGUAACUACCCAGUGCGCCGCACGCGUCCCCUGCUUCUCCUUUUGUGGGGUUGGUUCCUUCUUUGGGAAUGCCAAUGCCUCCAUCCCUCCUUGAUCAGAUUCUCUGACCCUUCAAGGCCAGGCCUUGACUCAUGACUCUGACUCCCACCCCACUCUGCUUCCUCUUCAUCAGAACCUCUCAAGUCCCUAUCCAUCUGUGCCAUAGUUAUCUUCACAUCUUAACUUAUCCACCAGGUCAUCUGUGCCCUGGCGUCUCCUCCAUGCUCGUUGGUACAAGACUUUCCAGCCAAGGCAUAAGCUCAAUGAAGAUGUGUUGGAUAUAAAUUGUGGAGGAGAAUCAUUUCUACCCUGUUAAAUUCCUCACACAAAUGUA